GUUGUCGUGGCUGAGUGGUUAAGGUGAUGGACUUGAAAUCCAUUGGGGUUUCCCUGCGCAGGUUCAAAUCCUGCCGAUAACG
rnacentral:tRNA from 1 species